GAUUGAACGCUGGCGGCAUGCUUUACACAUGCAAGUCGAACGGUAACCGGCCGCAAGGUGCUGACGAGUGGCGAACGGGUGAGUAAUGCAUCGGAACGUGCCCAGUCGUGGGGGAUAACUACUCGAAAGAGUAGCUAAUACCGCAUACGAUCUAUGGAUGAAAGCGGGGGACCGUAAGGCCUCGCGCGAUUGGAGCGGCCGAUGUCAGAUUAGGUAGUUGGUGGGGUAAAGGCUCACCAAGCCAACGAUCUGUAGCUGGUCUGAGAGGACGACCAGCCACACUGGGACUGAGACACGGCCCAGACUCCUACGGGAGGCAGCAGUGGGGAAUUUUGGACAAUGGGCGCAAGCCUGAUCCAGCAAUGCCGCGUGCAGGAAGAAGGCCUUCGGGUUGUAAACUGCUUUUGUACGGAACGAAACGGCUCUGGUUAAUACCCGGGGCUAAUGACGGUACCGGAAGAAUAAGCACCGGCUAACUACGUG
rnacentral:rRNA from 1 species